rnacentral:rRNA from 1 species
CACGGAGGAUGCGAGCGUUAUCCGGAUUUAUUGGGUUUAAAGGGUGCGUAGGCGGACGCUUAAGUCAGCGGUAAAAUUGCGGGGCUCAACCUCGUCGAGCCGUUGAAACUGGGUGCCUUGAGUGGGCGAGAAGUACGCGGAAUGCGUGGUGUAGCGGUGAAAUGCAUAGAUAUCACGCAGAACUCCGAUUGCGAAGGCAGCGUACCGGCGCCCUACUGACGCUGAAGCACGAAGGCGUGGGUAUCGAACAGG